AUCACCUGUCAGUUAUUACAUCCUAUAAAGGUACAGAACCCCCUCUUCAAUGUUAUCCUGUUUCUCAGUCACUGUGUCGAUUUCAGUGGUGAUUAUUUUGUGUAAUGUUAAAUUGCCCAUUUAGUGACAAGAAUUCAAAAAAAAAAUCUAGCAGUAACCAUGGCUUUUUGUGUAUGUGUUUUUUUCAUGCGUUAUCAACUUGUAUAGCUCAUUCCUUCAAUCUUCCUCCAGAAGUUGAAGAGUUCUGUCUCAAAUAGAAGACACUUUAGAAAGAAAUACCUUAGUACCAAGACAAGGUCCUGCAUUUUAAUCUUUGCAAAGGACUAACCUUGUGUUUGUCAGGGUAGUUUCUUUGCUCACACAGAAGAUCCAGAUCAACUCAUGUCCUGGCUGACUGACCUGCCUUAUGAAGAUCAGCCUUGUAAGCAACCAGAUCAGUCAAAAUAACAUUGGAGUCAACGACUGGGUGAUCACUAUGGGAGGUUGGUUUCAGACGAACAUGCUGACUUGAGCAUGCAGUGUUGCAGAACACAGGGAAAUCCAACAUUAUUUUGGAGCAGAAGGAUGGACGGUUGAACAACUUUUCAGUCUUUGGAGUGCCACUGAUAACUGAAGUCAUCCAACUAAUUAUCUGAGUAGAGAAAAAUGUGUUACAUCUCCAUGGUAAACAUCAUCAAGAUACCCUGUGGAAAAAUCCAGAUGAAAAAAUAAAUGUUGAGUCCCUGUUGUAAUUUGUUAUUGCUAAUAACAGUAAUAUUCUGCUCUUUACCAAAAGCCUGAGGGGUGACUUUUCUAGUAAGCCUGUAGCACAAUAGUUGAAUGUAUUUGUCUUCGA